GGAAGAUGGAAGAAGAGGAGGGGUAAGAGAGGAAGGAGGGGAAGAAGGAAGAAGAGGAGAGAGGAGGAGGAGGAGAAAAGGAGAGAUGGACUUACAAGCGCCAUUCUCCGCUGUGGGCCCGUGAGAGCAGAUUGUAUCCCGAAAACAAAAGCAAAAUAAGAAUGAACAACUAAAGAAGAAGGAGAACAACAACAGCAACGAAAGAAGAACAAGAGACAAACCCCGAGAACUUAAGAACAAUUAUCAGCAAAAGAAAUUAUUUAUCCCUUCCUAGUGAUUUUUUUUUCUCUUCUCUCGAAAGGAGUUGAAAAGGAGGCUCAUUUCGCGACAUAUUUUAUUAACGACAAAGUGGAGGAAAAAAAAAG